rnacentral:lncRNA from 1 species
UAGUUAGUGUAUGAUACAAUCCCUCUAUCGUAGAUCCCGACAAGACGGAGGUCAUGGAUAACUCGUCAAACCCCUAUCGUCUGUCAUAUGUCAAGAUUUAUUCGACUUAAGUUCGAGAGUGGAAAACUCCUUUUUCACUAUACAUACUAUCCCGGCCGAGGAUUUACGAACUCAGUCUCAUAAAUCACAUAGGAUCUCUCUUAACCUAUCAAGAUCGAUAGAUUCCAUCUAGAUGCACCCCUACUCCUACAAUGAACCUACUGCAGCCAAUCUGCACCACAAGAACCCAAUUGGCUAGGGCUCAUGUUUAUGUGCUCGU